CGUUCCCUCACUGUAACAGGUGGAGGAGAGAGGAGAGGAAGCACAGGUGGAUCCUCUGAGAAAGAGGAGCGUUCCUACAAACCACAAGAUCACAUGACCAGAGGACAAGCAUGUGUAGAAACACAUUAAAGUCAGCCUGUAAACACGUUUGUGUAAAUUCUAGUCGUGUUUUCCUGUUACUUUCAAAUAAAAGCAGAGAAGGCAGA